AUGGGUGGCGGCUUCGGAGGCGGUGGUGGUGCAGGCAGUGGUUUUGGAGGCGGCCUCGGAGCUGGCAGUGGUAUAGGUGGCGGUUUUGGAGGUGGAGGUGGCUUUGGAGCCGGCGGAGGUGCAGGAGGCGGCUUUGGAAGUGGUGGUGGUGCGGGUGCAGGCAUGGGAGCUGGUGUCGGAGGUGGCAUCGGUGCUGGCAGUGGUAGCGGUAUUGGUGGAGGUAGUGGAUUGGGCAAGGGCGUUGGUGCUGGAGGCGGCAUCGGAGCUGGCAGUGGCAGCGGUAUUGGUGUAGGUAGUGGAUUGGGCAAGGGUGUUGGUGCUGGAGGAGGGAUUGAAGUCGGCGGAGGUGCUGGAACCGGCAAGGGCCUUGGCACUAGAGGCGGUCUUGGAGCUGGCAGUGGCACUAGUGGAGAUGGUAGAAUGGGCCACAAUGUUGGUGCUAAAGUUGGUGGCGGCGAGAGAAAACGUGGCGGAAAACACCACGAUGGAAGCAAUAAUGGCAGGAAAAACAAGCAAGGGUGUUUAAACUGA
rnacentral:rRNA from 1 species